GAUGUGGCUCAGGGGUGGAGAUACUGCCUCUCAUGCAGGAGGCCCUGGGUUCAAGCCCAGCACAGCA
rnacentral:tRNA from 1 species